rnacentral:rRNA from 1 species
GCAGGGAAGAAAAUGACGGUACCUGACUAAGAAGCCCCGGCUAACUACGUGCCAGCAGCCGCGGUAAUACGUAGGUGGCGAGCGUUGUCCGGAUUUACUGGGUGUAAAGGGCGUGUAGGCGGGCAUACAAGUCAGAUGUGAAAUACCGGGGCUCAACCCCGGGGCUGCAUUUGAAACUGUAUAUCUUGAGUGUCGGAGAGGAAAGCGGAAUUCCUAGUGUAGCGGUGAAAUGCGUAGAUAUUAGGAGGAACACCAGUGGCGAAGGCGGCUUUCUGGACGAUAACUGACGCUGAGGCGCGAAAGCGUGGGGAGCAAA